CAUACUGGUCCAUAGUGGUUUCUGUUGCUCCAUACUGGUUUGUAAUGGUCCGCACUGGUCUAUACUGGCUCAUACUGGCCCAUACUGAUUUAUACUGGACUACUGGUUCACACUGGCCCACAGUGGUCCAUACUGGUUUAUACUGGUUUGUACUGGUCCAUACUGGUCUGUACUGGUUUAUAGCGGUCUGUACUGGCCUAUACCAUUUUAUAAUGGUUUAUACUGGUCCAUACGAGUCUAUAUUGGUUUGUAGUGGUUUAUACUGAACCAUAGUGGUUUAUACUGGUUUGUACUAGUCUGUAGUGGUUUAUAGUGGUUUAUAGGGGUCUGUACUGGUCCGUACUGGUCUGUACUGGUUUAUAGUGGUUUAUCCUGGUCCAUACUGGUUUAUAGUGGUCCGUACUGGUCUGUAUUGGUCUGUAGUGGUUUAUAGUGGUUUAUACUCGUCCAUACUGGUCCAUACUGGUUUGUACUUGUCCAUAUGGAUCUAUACUGGUCCAUACUGGUCCAUACUGGUCCGUGUCGGUGCUGUGCCCGCAGGAGCUGGCCCAGCUGCCCGAUUUCCCCAAGCUGCGGUUCCGUACUGGUUUAUACUGGUCUGUACUGGUUUAUACUGGUUUAUACUGGUCUGUACUGGUUUAUACUGGUGCUGUGCCCGCAGGAGCUGGCCCAGCUGCCCGAUUUCCCCAAGCUGCGGUUCCGGCCGCGGGCGCCGCCGCCGCUGCAGCUGCUGGUGCCGGGUGCAGGCGCGGCUGCGCUGGACCUGCUGCAGCGGCUGCUGCGCUACCGCCCGCACCUGCGGCCACGGGCGGAACAGGUGGGCAACUGGGGGGACUGGGGGGGACUGGG
rnacentral:lncRNA from 1 species